AACGAACGCUGGCGGCAGGCCUAACACAUGCAAGUCGAACGCGCCCUUCGGGGUGAGCGGCGGACGGGUGAGUAACGCGUGGGAACGUGCCCUUUUCUACGGAAUAGCCUCGGGAAACUGAGAGUAAUACCGUAUACGCCCUUUGGGGGAAAGAUUUAUCGGAAAAGGAUCGGCCCGCGUUGGAUUAGGUAGUUGGUGGGGUAAUGGCCUACCAAGCCGACGAUCCAUAGCUGGUUUGAGAGGAUGAUCAGCCACACUGGGACUGAGACACGGCCCAGACUCCUACGGGAGGCAGCAGUGGGGAAUCUUAGACAAUGGGGGCAACCCUGAUCUAGCCAUGCCGCGUGAGUGAUGAAGGCCUUAGGGUUGUAAAGCUCUUUCAGCUGGGAAGAUAAUGACGGUACCAGCAGAAGAAGCCCCGGCUAACUCCGUG
rnacentral:rRNA from 1 species